GGAGUUGUGGCUCAGUGGUAGAGCGUUUGCCUAGCAUGUAUAAGGCACUGAGUUCAAUCCUCGGCACCA
rnacentral:tRNA from 1 species